GAAGGAAGAGGCGAAGAAUUGUUUCUACUUCACAGUCACCAUCAGACGCUAUCUACAGUUGGCUUUCCUUCAAACAUAGUCAAAACUGUAUCUGGAAAAGUAAAAAACUGUCUGACAAUGUUGACCAUAUGGAAGACAGUGUCUUGUAGCAAUUUACAUAAAAUAUCCAUUUCUUAUAGUUGCCUAUGAUUUUCCAAAGCUAUUUCAAUUGCAUCAUUUUUUUCUUUUCGCCAUAAAGAACAAAGGAAAGGAAUGUAUGUGCAGAUGUCCUGUCUGCAGAUAGAAUCUGAGCAGCCUAAAAGGAGAAUUAGAUUGGCUUUAUCAUCCUUAUUGGACUUCUAGAAAGUACAGGAAAUCACACCUACCACACGUUUGAUGCUUAAUUUAUGAACAAUAAAAACAAGGGAGAAAUGUAGGCUCCUCUCUGCCACCCUCUUACUCGCCCAGUUUAUUAGGAAUUACAAUGCCCAAACUUUCACAAUAUUCAAAUGUUUAUCAUUCUAAAUGACAGUGAAUUCCAGAAAUAUUAUCAAGACUUCAGUUUAUGUAUCCUAGGGGAGAGGAAUUUUAUUUUGCCAUUUCGUAUAAGUUAUCAUGACUCAGAGUAGAAUCUUUGCCUCUGCAUUCUCCAUGUGGGGCAUUUUAAGCUGGUUCUAAUAUUCAGUUGCUGAAGUACUUUAAUUCUGCCUGACUCCAGCUCAGUGUGGUUUAAAGCAUCAGAAGGAAAUAUUUGCUUUUCACAUUUUCUAUGCAACUGCCAAAAAAGAAAUUGAUUAACUUCCUUGCGGUUAGAUGUGUGAGCAGCAAAAGCAUGUAGAGCUUAUGAAAUUCUUUAGCACAGAGACAUACAUGCUUCUUUUUUCUUUUGAAAUUAUUAUCAGAAGCAUGAAAGUCUCAUGUUCAUUUUUUAACCAUUUGCUUAUGCAGAACCAACUCUUUUUGAAAGGCUGGCUUAAUCCAGGUUCUUCUAGAAAAUCAGCCAGAGAGCCAGUUUGAUGCAGUGAUUAAGGCAUCAGGACAGAAACUGGAAGACCAUGAGUUCUAGUCCCACCUUGGGCAUGAAGCCAGCCAGAUGACCUUGGGCCAGUCACUUUCUCUCAGCCCUCAGAAGGAGGCAAUGGCAAAUCAUUUCUGAAAAGUCCUGCCAAGAAAACUCCAGGAACUUCUCUGGGUAAUCUUCAAGAAUUGGACACAAUUGAGUGGAAGGAAACAAAACAAACAAACAAACAAAAAAGCCAGAGAUCAACUAAAUCCUGAGAUCAAAACAUGCAAAUGGGACAUGGACUCUAUGCUGGAACCUGUUGGAAUGAAGAUGAUGGAAGGCCUUCUUGUGUAUGAUGGUUUUCUAUAUUUCUCCAAAGUUAUGGAAGCCUCUUCUUGAGGAGUUGUAUUCAGCUCACAAAAGAGAUUUCUCCCACUUUCUCGUCAUAAAAGUUCCUAUGGAGGAAGAAGAGAAAAAAGAAUGAAAGAAUGGGCACAUAGACAUCUGUGGCCAAGUGAUGCCUUGAGAUCACUUCUCACAACAAAGGUUUUGGGAAACCUUUGGAAUAACUGAACUUCAUUUCUGUACUUGAUACGAUCUAGUGGGCCAUGUCUUCAAGAUGAUAACCUGCACCUAGUCCUGUGAAAUUUCAAACAUCAGCAUCUUUCCUUCCAAACAGUUUUCCGAUUUUUUUUUAAAUUAUCUUGCCAAAUUAAGAAAGAGAAAAGCUGAAACCUUAAAAGAUUGCAAAAUAUUCUGUAAAAUUUUUGCUAUUUUGUCAGCAAUAAGACCCUUUCCCUAUUCUGGUUUGCAUGCAUCUGCAAUCAGAUAAUGGAUAUAAGCUGAAACUGCUGGAUUUUAUGUAUUAGAUUAGAACAUAUUGUGCUAUUUAUUUUUAAAUCUAGAAUGGACUUGUUUAAAGACCCUCCCUGUUUUAAAUAGUAAUCUACCCCUUUGGGGAAAAUUAUAGAGUUCACGUAAGAAACUGGCUAAAAUUAAAAGUUGUAAAAAUA